rnacentral:misc_RNA from 1 species
UCUCAACGUCGCGUCACUUCCUCGUAAUCUUCGGCACUGCGCAGCGAGCGCACUUCUUUCACAGCCGCAGCGUUUCCUCUUUGGUGUAGCGGAGGAGCGAAAUGGCAACAGCAAAUAGAGUCACCACCAUCCCUAUGGCGACUACCAGGCUAGCAGUAUCACUGCUGACGCUUUUCCUGUGCGGUUGCGCGUGCGUUAGCAACGCCGCUGCGGCCCGUGUGAACGAUGACCUGCCGCCUGGCGUGAUGCGCGGGCCGCUGCUACACGAGCACAGCUUUCAAGAGCCGCUCGUAAGCGACUGGUGGGAGGAAGGUGUCCCGCACUACAUGAUUGGCGGGUCGGCGGUAGCCAACGAGCGCUUUCUUCGCCUCACCACGAACGAUCUGGAUGACCACGGGUUCGCUUUCAACACCGCACCACUUGAUCACGACAAUUGGGAGGCUCGCGUGCGCUUCUCCAUCCGGCCGCCACCGCUGGCGGCUGACAUGAACGGUAGCUCCCACUACCAGGGAGGCGACGGCAUGGCCCUAUGGUACCUGGACCAACCGAUCGGCGACGAUCAUCAGCACGUCGUCAAGUACUCCAAGUCGAUCUCUCCGGAGCUGCGGGACGAGAUGCUGGACGCGGAGAAUCCGUGGCGUGUGGCCGACUUCCUGCUCAACGGCGACGACGACGACGACGAAGACGAAGGGGUGGAUGAGGAUGAUCUGACGGAGCAGGAGAAGCAGGAGCGGCAGCAAGCGAAGGAUCGCCGCGCUACGAAGAAGAGGAAGCGUGAGGCGCUGUUCAAGCGACUGUUCAAGCGUGGCACCUCUGUCGACGAGUCGGAUAGGGAGCCACGUAUCAUGGGCGUGAAGUUUUCGGACUUCAACAAAGGCUUUGGCCUCAUUCUCGAUUCCGUGGGAGAUGAAAAGGAACACCUACGUGAGCACCAGCAGCAAGGCGACGCCGUGCAACACCACCACCACACCUCCAGCAUCUACCUACUGCUGAACUUGCCGAACCACACAUCCAGCUCAGGGGCGACGGUGGUGAACAACUUUGACCCCACGCGCGAAAACUUCCGCAGUUCCCCGCAUGUGCUGCGGUGCACGUACGACUUUCGCCAGAAGGGCACGAAGCCGUAUGACCCCAAGGCACGUAUGAUGGACAAGGUCACCAAGGCCGCCACCGCCGCCGAGGAGCCUCUGGAGCUGAUCGUGCGCUACUACAAACAGAAGCUGACCGUCAUCAUCCGCCGCGAGGACGUUGCAAAACGCGAGGUGUCAUGGGUGGUGGAUGAGAUGGGCAAGGCGACGGACGAGGUGGAGGUAGUGCGCACGCACACGGAGACCAUGUGCGGUGAGGUGUACCCGAUUCAUUUGCCGUUGCGCUACCACUUCGGCUUAUCCGCCAGCACCGGCCACCGGCCUGCCAAGAAUCGCAAGCGCCGCCCGCUGCGGAGCGUCUUCCACGAGGCGGACAAGAAAACCUUUACUCAUGUGGAUGUCCAUGAUGUGCUGAAGUUCGACCUGCGUGAGCUGGGGCUCGACGCAAAGGCGAUGGGGUAUUCCAAGACGAUCCCGCUAGAGCAUUUCGACUUUGAGGCGGACAGGCGCGAGCGGCUACACUUCUCUCGCCAGCUCCCGGUGAACCCGGACUCAGACACUGCAUAAGCGGUUGUGUGCAACCGAUUUGCGUGACUGUAUUCGUGAUCGUUUCUCUCAUGUAGGCAUGUGUAUUUCCUGAGGAUGAGGUGGGGUGGUCGUGGGAGACGGAGGCAAAUAGCGGAGGAGCAAGAGAGAGCGAGACGUGCACGUGUACGUGCGUUCAGGCGACCUCGCCACAGGCGGGCACCUCUCUCUUUUUUUAUUUUCGCUAUUGCAUGUGUUUGUUUCCUCCGUGUCUUUGUUUUUGCAGCGGCCCAGCAACGGCUGAGGCUGCGCGGCACAGCCGCGGGAAAGGGAACGUGCCCACAGGGGGAGGCUUACGCACGCUCAGUAUGCACAUACCGUUUUGAGCUCUCCUCCCUUGGUAAAGGAUCGACAGACAGUGUCCACGCGGUUGCUCUUCUCUGAUGCCCCUCGCUUCCUCUGUGUUCCCUCCCCCUCGGCGUGAAGGUGUCCUGCCUCAUUUCUCAUUCCUCCUGCAUCCUCCCCUCUCAGUUCAUGCCGCCGCACCGCACUGCACUGUACGGCAGCUCCUCCUCCGCCUCUGCGUCACAUCAGUUUUCUGUAUUCUUUAUUCUUUUAUGUUCUAUAGACCCCUCCCGAUUUCGUUUUGCCUGGCGCAGACACACGCGCUCACAGGAGUAUUCGAUUACGCCAAGUGAUAUGUGCCUGGGUUAACAUGGUUGUGUAUGUGUGCGUGUGUGUGUUGGUGGGGCGUAUAUAUGCAUGCUUGCAUGUGCGCUCCUCUUGCAUGUCCUCUGUCUCCACCUCUCGCUUCCUUCGUCGCGUUCUCCGUUGCCGAUGAGCGCCAAGGAAACUGGGCAGAACAGCAAAGAACAGGGAAGAGCUAUCGCGCGUGGUUUUCCCACGGCCAGUGGUAGCGGGCGGCUGGAGGGAAGCGGGAUGAAUGCGAU